UACGGGGGGUGCGAGCGUUGUCCGGAAUCACUGGGCGUAAAGGGCGCGUAGGUGGUUUGAUAAGGGUGUGGUGAAAGCCCGGGGCUCAACCCCGGGUCUGCCGUGCCGACUGUCAAACUCGAGGGCUGUAGAGGCAGACGGAAUUCCUGGUGUAGCGGUGAAAUGCGCAGAUAUCAGGAGGAACACCGGUGGCGAAGGCGGGUCUCUGGGCCAUAACUGACGCUGAGGAGCGAAAGCGUGGGGAGCGAACAGG
rnacentral:rRNA from 1 species